GCUCUGGAGGUGCGGGUUGCCUGCUGUCGGGUCUGCCGUGUUGGGGAGUGAGGCCUGGUGAGGCCUUGUCAACCUUGGGAGGUGGAGGUUGCCAGCAGUCGUUCCAGCGCGAUUUCUGUUGUCCCAAGAAGAGUAGUAAGAUAUUCUUGUGCUAAUUCUUUAGUUGCUAGAUCUUGGGUUAUUGAUCGUGUAUAUUUUAUUUUGUUUUGUGUUCCCUUUUUCCUUCCCCCCUUCCCUUUCCCUUUUUCCUUGGAAUUGUACAUAGUAUUUCAACUGUAUAUAGCUGUAUAUAACGUAAAUACAUUUAUUUUCAUAUAAGUUUGGCUAGUCUGGAUUUUUCAGAGUUUUUUUCCUUAGCUCUUUGCCAGAGGUAUCUUUUUGUGUUGGGUCUGGGGAUUUGGUGGGGAGCCAAGUAAAACUUAGACAAGGUGGGCCAGAAAGUAUGUAAGGCAGUAAGACCAGUCUGGGCUCACUGCCAAGGGACCAUGCAGCUGCGGGCAGGGAAACAACUUGAUAGGUUCGUUAAAAUAACCAAUGGACUGCAAGAAGAAGACUAUAUUACCUUUUAAGGAAGAAAAGAGUGAGGCUUGGCAUAGGAGGAGUGAGGGAGUGGUUAUGUAAAUCAAAGGGUCUUAAAAGGGCUCGCCUCUCCCAUUCGGUGUGUGCUCAGACCUGGUCAAGAGUCCAGUGCACCCAGCACGCUGUUAAUGAAGUUCUUUGUUUCAAUUUAUUUGGCCAUCUCCAAAAUUUUUAUCAGAGAUACUUCUCACACUGCUUUCUGUCAAGAGCAAUCAUAUCUGGUUUUCAUACACAUACUGGCAGUAAUUAGACAUGCACAGGCCAGUUCUGACUAUGUAUUAUAAACAUGAAGCACAAAAGAAGAGAGCAAGUAUUUAGGAGAUUGAAAGCAUUUGUUGUCUUGUUUUCUGUAAUUAACCAUGAUUGUAGAACAAAACAGCUACAAAGAAAUAAAUGUUCUGGCAAACAGAAGUACAGGUCAUUAUUCCUAAUCCUCAAUAAUUGCAGCUAAUGUUCAAACUGAGCAAGACAAUUAUGCAUAUCUUAAGCAUGUUUAGAUUUAGAGGAACUCUGGGGAGUUAGAGUUGAAGAUAGGAGAGUACAUGGUCUACAGAAAACUGAGUUACUGAGGAAUUAAGUAUAAGCCAGGACUUCCUUUCAGUGCUGUAGGUACAACAGAAGCUCAUUGCUACCAAAGCAAGACGUGCCAGAAGCAACCCUGAUUAGAGCAGAAGAGAGAGUCUGCUCAGGGAAGGAAAGUGGGCUGAAAGCUGCUGCUAUCAAAGGUAAAUGAGAGAUUCCAGUCCUCUCUGCUGAAGAGUUGGUUCCACCUCACCUCUCCUACCCACAAAGGAUCCUAACCUUUUCUCACAUUUGGAAGAAAAUAUACAGAAAGCAAGUAGCCCUUCAAGACAACAUUUCAGUCAUGCAAGCUAUCCCACUGCAGAGGGCAUGGAUGAAGAGAGAGAGAAGUUUAUGAGAUGGAAGAAGUAGCUGCGAGAGGUUAUAGCUGAGGCAGCAACAGAGGAGGACGUGCUUUGAAGACAUUCAGCACUGUUUCAUGAGAACAAAGACUGUUGACUUAAUGGAGACUGAUUCAAGUUGUUAAUACAAGCUAAAUGUUUAUCAUACCCCAGUUCAUACCAAAUGUUAUAAUACUUUUCCCCUCACAUUUAUCCCCUAUUUUUUUAUUGGUUGUAAUUUGCUGCAUUGCAGAUACUCCCCUCAUUGGCUCUCGCUAACCCUUCGUUCCCUCCUUCCUAAUUGGCUGUUGUUCCUGCCUGUCCCAUUCUCCUCCCCAGUCUCUAGAACCUUCCUAUGUGACCCUAUAAAUAGAGCUAGCCCCCAGAAUAAAGGUGUGAUAGCUUUGAGCUACCACUCUGUUCAAA